AACGAACGCUGGCGGCAGGCUUAACACAUGCAAGUCGAGCGCCCCGCAAGGGGAGCGGCAGACGGGUGAGUAACGCGUGGGAACGUACCCUUUGCUACGGAAUAGCUCCGGGAAACCGGAAUUAAUACCGUAUGUGCCCUACGGGGGAAAGAUUUAUCGGCAAAGGAUCGGCCCGCGUUGGAUUAGCUAGUUGGUGGGGUAAUGGCCUACCAAGGCGACGAUCCAUAGCUGGUCUGAGAGGAUGAUGAGCCACAUUGGGACUGAGACACGGCCCAAGCUCCUACGGGAGGCAGCAGUGGGGAAUAUUGGACAAUGGGCGCAAGCCUGAUCCAGCCAUGCCGCGUGAGUGAUGAAGGCCUUAGGGUUGUAAAGCUCUUUCACCGGAGAAGAUAAUGACGGUAUCCGGAGAAGAAGCCCCGGCUAACUUCGUGCCAGCAGCCGCGGUAAUAC
rnacentral:rRNA from 1 species